CUCAGCGGUACGAACGACCCCGCGGGCUGUAGUUAAGCCGGCCCGACCGAAGCCCGCCCCGCAGACGCAACCAGGAUCUGAUAGGGAACACUUCCUACAUCAUUUUUGAGAUUGUACUCCAGUUUGGAAUACUCUAUAUGGUAGUUCAUUGGAACGCCUGCAUCCAAUUCUACACUGAGAACUUACUGCAAUUUCCAGUUAACUCUUGGGUUUACCAGCAGAACCUUACGAUGAAUGACAUUCAGGAAUAUAUUUCAUACCGAAAGCUACCACAGGAUUUGUGCCAACGGAUUUUCACCUACUAUGAUAUCCAGUACCCCUACUAUGAUAUCCGGUACCAAGGAAGGUGGUACAAUGAAGAGGAAAUCCUCAAUGAGAUGUCAGAACCUCUGAAAGAGGAGGUGAAGCACCAUCUCUGUGCCAGGCUGGUGAAGAAAGUGUCACUGUUCCAGCAUUGUGAUCUGAACUUCCUGAAUGCAGUGAUUAUGCAUCUCAAUAUUGAACUGUUCCAGCCUACAGAGGCAGACUAACAACGUUUUUGAAUUCCUGUCAGCCAGCAUGGACGCAGCAGUGCCCUACAGCACUGUGCUGGCAACCACAAAUACACAGAGGCUGUUUGGGCUAUAUUCAACACUCAAAGUUGGAUGAAACUCAGCAUUGGACUUCACCCGACACACCACCAAGCAGAUGACAUUGUCGUGGCAGCAGCUCUUCCAGCAGCUUCAGUGGCAAUGGAGGGACAAGGACAAGGAAGAAGAGGAGACCACCAAGCAACUGAUACUAGAGAAGCGGUUCCUGGAUGAACUACACAGUGUUCAGUGUUGUUCUUCAAGUGAUUACACAUGUCCGUUCUACUGUCGAUGCGUGCACGCCAAGUGCAGUUAUUAGAGAUUUCCCCCUCAGCAGUACCCAUCAGGGCAGUGUGAGUGUCCUUUACUGCCUCAUAUCACUGUAUGCAGAUAUAAAGGCAGAGCCUCCCCCGUCCCCUCUCAGUUCCUUCCUACCACCCAUGAUGUUGGAGCUGCUGUCCUUGCAUUUGCAGUCCCACCCUCUUUGUUGUAGUACCUGUUCUGUUAGUUUUAGGCUAGUUUAGAGUUUUUGUACAUAGUUUAAGAUAUAAGAUUAAGUUUAGAUUAGUACUUAAUAGCAUGGAUUCGCCAGUUCCCAUUUUGGUACUGGUACCAAACUCAUGCCUUGUUUUCCAGGCUUCAAGUCUUGUCACUCAUGUAACAAGUCCAUGCCAGUGAGUGACCCAAACCCCAGCUGCCUAAGUGUGAGGCAGAUGUGAGUGACAAAUGUCACAUUUGUAGGGGAUUCAAACCUCUCUCAAAGACAGUGCAGCCAUACUCAAAUAUCUGCUGAUGGAAUCUGUGCUCCUCCCACCAUCACAGCCUUUGUAGGGGUAGGAUUUUAUAUUUGUAUUAAAGGUCAUAGUUUAUCCUGCCAGCCACCCUUUUUGAAUAGCAGAAAGGAAUGACCCUCUGGGGCAUUGGUUUUAGGAUAAGUUGUAUUAUAAAAGAUGGGGUCUUACAAAAAUCAGGAGUCCACAUAUUCACUUAUCUAGAUGAUUGGCCAGUAAGAGGCUGGUCUAGGUCUCCGGUACUGUCCAGCAUAGCCACCAUACAGUCCACCUUCAGUGCUCUGGGGCUUCUAAGCAAUACAGUGAACUAUAACCUACUCCUGUACAGACAAUAGAAUUUAUUGGGGCAGCCCUGGACUCCUACAAAGGCCAGGGCUUUCCUGCUAGGGUUAAGAUUCCAAGCAAUGCGGGUCAUUGCUCUAGAUCUAAACACACAUUCUGUCACUACAGUGUGAAAUUGCCUCAAGCUUCUAGGGCACAUGGUAGCAUGUGCUUAGAUAGUACAGGAUGCCAGGCUGUGCUUCAGGGAGCUAGCUUUGGCGUACUCACCAGCUCAUCAUCAUAUGGACAUGGUGGUUCAAGUGACAGCCUGGACUGGUGGAGAGAACUCUUGAAUGUUUGUGAGGGAGUCCCCUUUGGUGCUCUACAACAGACACUCACCUUUGUCACAGAUGCAUUGGUUCUAGGCUGGGGAGCUCACUUAGGUCCCUAACAGGCACAAGGUCUUUGGUCUAUUCAAGAUCUAAAGCUCCAUAUAAAUGUAAGGGAGCUUCGGGCCAUCUGUUUGGCUUGCAUGGUGUUCCUUCCACAUAUCAAGAGGCAGAAUGUGUUGGUGCUUACAGACAACACAGCAGCCAUCUUCUGUGUAAACAAAUGGAGGGCCUAGUUGACAAAGUUAUGCCAAGAAGUGUUUCUGCUUUGGAAUUUCUGCAUCACCAGUUCCAUCAUCCUGAAAGCUGCUUACCUUCCAGGGGCUCAGAAUGCUCUGGUAGAUCACUUAAUCAGGUCAUUCACAAGUCACCACAAGUGGUCCCUUCAUCCAGAUGUGACCACAUCCAUUUCCCAGCUGUGGGGAAUCCCCCAAGUGAACCUGUUUGCAAAAUGAGCAUACAAAAAUGUUAUCUUUUUUGUUCCUGAGCAGGCCACACCCUGGGUUUGUUGACAGAUGCCUUCAUGCCACCCUGGUCGAAGAGCCUGCUGUAUGCAUUCCCUCCAACUCCACUCCUGCCCAAGGUCUUGUCAAGAGUCAAAGAGCCCUCCACCCGACAGCUUGGAUUCUUUCUGGCCAACAUCCUUGGAAGGAGGUUGUUCUAAGGAAGUUCAGGAAGUUCUAAAUAGUAGAAAGCCUUCAACUAAGACUCUUUACCUUGCUAAAUGGACAAGUGUGAUGGGGCGUCUGCCCCACACUGGCCUGUAAGGGGUUAAUGGAGUCCUAGGGAGGCCGCGCAGAAAGCAGCCAAUAGGAGAGGGGCUGCGAGGAGCAGCCCAUUAGGGCCAGGCAGGCCUAUAUAAGAAGAGCUGCACAGCAGAGCAGGUUCAGUUGCUCCCUGGAGCUUGAGGAGGGCUCAAUGGCUGCCUUGCAGGAGGAAGAAAGCUAGCACCCUGGACAGAUCAGUGCUGGGCAGGAUCAGGGGAGUGAGAGCGAGUUCCUGGCUGCAUGCUAAGACUGGCAUGCUGAGGCCCUGAGAUAAGGGUGCAGAAGGUGCUAGGGCCAUGGGGAAGUGGUCCAGGGAAAGAUACUGAGAGAUUAGAGGGAAAGCAGCAUAGGGCUGCCAUCUACAAGGUCCCUGGACCAGGACCUGGAGUAGUAGGUGGGUGCAGGUUGUCACCCCCCAACACACUCACUCGCCACUGAGGAAGUGGCUGGACCAGUGGACUGUGAUACUGUCCCCCGGAAAGGGGGAGCACAGAGUAUGGCACAGCUGAGGGCUGUGUCCUGAAGAGGAUGCUGCAGUCCUUGGAGUGUCCCGGAGCAGAAGCGAUAGCAGGCGCGACACCACCUCCAAUAGAAAAUUGAAAAACAGCCAGGGCAAUAGUGUCAGGGAUGCCUGUUGCUCUUACUUUGAGUGCCAGGCCUGAAAAUAUGCAGCUGAAUUAUUUAAAAUUUAUGACUUUUCUGGGUAAAAUGCAUUGAUGACUAUGAAAGAAUUUUUAAUUGUUUCUAUUAUUAAACAGUCUAUUAUGUAGCAGUCAGAAAGAAACCUUUAAUUAAACAAUAAUGAAGCAAAAAUUCAAAGUGACACAGUGCAGUGGAGAGUAGAACACAACAAGGGGAGUGGGGAUUCAAGUCACAGGUGAGUAUAUGCCUGGACACUGCCUCUUCUUGUUCUUGGGCCUUCUGGUGUUGACUGGCGACACUCAAAGUUAUCAGAGGCAUUAGAUGGCUGAAAAGAGCUGGGGUCCCAGUUGUUCUCACUGGCCUGAGCAGAGCAUUCUGGCUCUGUACUGCCUCCAGGAGUUGCCUCUGCAUCUCCCAUUUCCACUUAUCCCAGCAUCCCUGGUUUUAAUGUACAUUCUCCCGAGCUGUUUGCUCUUUCACCUGCAUUGGUCAGCAUCAUGGUUGUCCCCUUGUAGACAUCUGCUUAACAAUGUCCACAAAAAGAACUUUAUUCCAUUGUCUGGCCACAAGAGCUUCCUGCACUGAUGUUUCUCAGCAGAUGAUGAUGAAGAUCUAGGGUCUCAGGAUGGCUCCAGGAGGCUGCUUGAGGUAUGUGGGCUUCUGGAGUACUAUUGCAGCCAUGCUGAUAUACUCAAAUCCCGGAGCAAAUGGGCCAAUUUUGGCUACGCUGCAGUUUUUAAACAGGGGAGGGGACAUCCAGUCAACUUGAUACCGGAGCAGUGGAGGGCAUGCAGGUAAACUAAUGGGUGGCUGCAAAGCUGUGUGGGAUAGCAGUUGGAAGACUGCCAAAGCAGUGUGCAGCAGCUUUGCAUGAACACAAACAAUAGACUGAACUACUACUCACAUCUCAUCUCUCAUAAAUAUAAAGGGAAGGGUAAACACCUUUAAAAUCCCUCCUGGCCAGAGGAAAAACCCUUUCACCUGUAAAGGGUUGAGAAGCUAGGAUAACCUCGCUGGCAGCUGACCAAAAUGACCAAUGAGGAGACAAGAUACUUUCAAAGCUGGAGGAGGGGGAGAAACAAAGGCUCUCUCUGUCUGUGUGAUGCUUUUGCUGGGAACAGAAAAGGAAUGGAGUCUUAGAACUUAAACUUGAAGUUGUGCAACAGAAUAAAACAUAAUAGCCAUGACAAACUGUAGGAGCUGAAGAUGAAGAGGAGCCAAAAAGGAAUAGUCAGUGUCUUCAGAUGCAAGAGCCAUUCCACUGCUGCUAUGUCACAGAUUUCAGCUGCUGGGAUGUGUGAAGGAAUGAACCAGUGCAUCUCACAUCUCAAAGGUUUUUGAGAUCAAGUCAGUCUCUGGGACGAAUUGUCUUUUGAGUUCAGCUCUGCAAGGUGAUUAUCCUCAUACAUCUCUGUUGCAUUUCUGCAUUUGUUCAGCAUAUGCAGUUGUGUUAUCCACUGGGCAAUUUUGAGAGGAGAAUUAAGCAAUGAAGCAGAAAACAGAGCUCUUUUUAGGCGGUUUCUUUCACCUCAAGUCAGGUCAGGUUCUAACUUACUGUCUUUAAAAUACCUAAUCACCUUGCCUUUGUCUUCUCUGCUGACAUUUAUAUAAAUGGACCCUCUCAUCCUUUCCGUAUUGAACUAAGGAUACAAUUUUCAGAGGUGCGUAAGGGAGUUGGGGAGCCUAACUCCCAUUUUCAAAAGUAAUGUAAGUGUUUGAAGGUCAGUGGGACUUAAGUUCCUAAGGGCCAGAGUUUUAUAGGUAUUUAGGCACCUAAAGAUACAGAUGGGUGCUUAGUGGGACUUUGAAAAUUCCCAGGGUGUUAGGGGCCUCAGCACUUGUGAAAAUCCCAUUAAAUGUCUAUCUGUAUCUUUAGGUGCCUGAAUGCCUUUACAAAGCUGGCCUCAACUCACUUUUGAAAAAUGUACCCUAAAUCUUCAACUCAGGCCCAUAUCCAGAUUAUAUUGAGUUGGAUUUUAAAUACCAUUGCCCAGUGUACUAUUUCCUCCAAUAACUGAGAGCUUGUUGAAUUCGGUUUUCCCUAUAUAUGGUUAACUCCACAAAGUUCAUGUAUGCAGGGGGGAAAUCUUUUAGUCAAACUCUGCUGUAUGGACCAGAGAGCACCGAAUUUUGCCUGGAACUUGUGUGAAGCUCUCGGAGCCACAGAAAUAACCUCCCUUAGAACUCCAAACUUUCCAGUGUGGUGGCCAGAGGAGUGAGAAUGCUUAUUGUCUCUGUGUGAUGGAAGGUGAUGUGACUGAGAUUAGUGCAGCUUCUGAAAUGGAUGUUUCACAGCAUGUUCAGUGUCACUGUAUCUAUAGUGUUACUAGAAACAAAAAUAUUUUUGUACUGACGAUAACUAACUCAAAUAAAAUACAAAGUUUAAGUAAA